AUCCCCUCUUUUUCUGAGGAAAUGGCUCUUCAGACUGAGCCUUAAACACAAAGAUUCCUUCUUCCGUAUCAGCUCAACUCUGGACAGGCGGUGGAAACUACCAAGCUGGAGUACGGUAGGAGCAGAGGGAAUUUCCGGUGGAGCGGUGAAAUGCGCAGAGAUCGGAAAGAACACCAACGGCGAAAGCACUCUGCUGGGCCGACACUGACACUGAGAGACGAAAGCUAGGGGAGCGAAUGGGAUUAGAUACUCCAGUAGUCCUACCCGUAAACGAUGGAUACUAGGCGCUGUGCGUAUCGACCCGUGCAGUGCUGUAGCUAACGCGUUAAGUAUCCCGCCUGGGGAGUACGUUCGCUUUCCUGCAACUUUUUCAUACGCCUUCUACACUCAUGUGCUCCCCUACUGAACCAUCCCCUCUU
rnacentral:lncRNA from 1 species